GGACAGAGGAAGGGAUAGGUGGAUGGACAGAGGAAGGGAUAGGUGGAUGGACAGAGGAAGGGAUAGGUGGAUGGACAGAGGAAGGGAUAGGGGUGGAUGGACAGAGGAAGGGAGGUGGAUGGACAGAGGAAGGGAUAGGUGGAUGGACAGAGGAAGGGAUAGGUGGAUGGACAGAGGGAAGGGAUAGGUGGAUGGACAGAGGAAGGGAUAGGUGGAUGGACAGAGGAAGGGAUAGGUGGAUGGACAGAGGAAGGGAUAGGUGGAUGGACAGAGGGAGGCUGUGAGAAAUAUAUUUGGAAUAAUAAAAUCUGCAGAAAUGUGACUAAAAAUUUUUACUGUUUCAGUGUUGUCCUGGUUUUGACCAAUAGAGGGAUGCAGUGAAAGGAUCAACCUACAGUCAGGUCCAAAAUGAUUGGCACCCUUGAUAAAGAUGAGAAAAAAAGUCUGUAUAUAAAAAUAAUACUACUAGUACUGAGUGUUAUUGUAUCAUAUAUUAUAUUUUAUGCUAAUAAAGAUGGGGGUCAGAAUUAUUGUUUUCAAACCCACACCCUGUGAGGUUAACAGCA